UUUGCAAAAAAUAAAAAUAAUACGAACUCCUCUCCCCCACGUUAAUUGCAAUGCAAAGGGAGAUGUUGCAUUACGGAUCCUGCCUGGGCUGUGCUGGGCUCUAAUGAAUGCGCCGAGCCUUUGAUCUGGGGCAAAAUGCAAUAGAAAAUGGGAUAUGACAAGUGCCAUUGUCACUCGCUAACCUGUGAACACAUGGAAGACAAUGGAAGGAAUGUAUUUCAUGCUACACCAUAAAAAUGAGGACACUGGGAGGAGGAGAGGUGUCUGCAAUCAAAUGCUAUCACCUGUCAUGUAGAGGAGCACUGUGCAGGUUUCUUCCUGCCAGCUUGUCCCCUUAGAGUCUCUUGGUUUCUGCAAGGUUCUACAAAACUGAUGAGUGGUAAGUUAUUAUUAUUAUUAUUAAAGUUUUUUUUGUUUGCUUGUUGUUUCAUGGCAGUUCACACAGCCCAGUAAAGACUGGAUCCCACUGUGCUUGGCACUGUGUAAACUGUGGUACUGUGUCCUGCCACCCAAGGAAUUUGCAGUCUAAAUAGGCAGGGCCAGCAAGGUGAGACAGAG